AUGGAUCAGUUUGGUGUGGUAUACAGGAAGAGCACCAGUAGGAGAUUGAGAGCAAAGGGGGGUGGCCUGAAUGAGUCCCUGAAGCCAGGUGCCUCUCAGAGGGUGCUGGCCUCAAGGUUCCAGCAAUGUUGUCUGAACACUCACUUCACGGCACUCUUUUAGGUACUUUGUAUUAACUCAGUACUCAGGAAACCCACAGAGGUGAGUGUUGUUAUUCCCACUUUACAGAUGGGAAAUUGAGGCACAGAGGGGCUACAUGAUGCUUAUUAACAAAGGUACCGUGGUUAGAGAUACCUGGAAGCCAGUGAUUCCUGAAACUAAGAAGCAUACAGUUUUGUUUUAUUCAUUUAUUUAUUUUUCUUUAACUGGCAAAAGAAGGAGGGAAAGACUGGGUAUAUAAGAGUAUAAACAACUAAAAGAAGAUACAGAACACUGAAAUAUCACACCCCCAAAACCAUGGCAAGAGCGUUUCAAACUCAGUGUAAGAACUUAGGGCAAAUAAAAACAAAACAGGUGAUCUUUAUCAGCACUCAUUUUUCUUCAGGAUGUAGUUCAAAUAAACCAAUUACCUAGUUCCUGAAGAGCUAUGGGGUCAGUUAACUAAGGUUGGUUUCCACAUCUAUAAAAGGAGUAUACUGAUAAAUAAUUCCUGCCUGUUCUCUCUCCUAAGAGUUGCUGGAACAAUCAAAUGAGAUGAAGCGUGCAGAGCUCUGGGGUGACAAUGUGCUACAAGCUCCUCAUCCACAUUAUUUAACAUUUCUCCAUAGGAAGUUCUAGGCUCAGUAUUACACAGAGUAAUGCUUGGGUGAUAUUCUUUAACUACAAUGAUGAUAACGAACAACUAUUGGCCACCUACUAUGUGCCAGACACAUCAGUGUGUAUAUGUUCAUUAGGCCUUUCAAUAAACUGAUGAGGUUGAAGAUAUCCCCACUAUAUACAUGGAGAAACUGAGGAAUGAAGCAAUUGCUUUGCCCAAGGUCACACUGCUGGAGCUGGGAUUCGAAUGCAGAAAGUUCAAAAGAUAUGAUCUCUAUGACAUGAUUACAAAAACUUGAUCAACAUGAUAUAAAUUUGUCUUCCUGUAAAAAGAAAUUCUAUUGUAAGUGAAUUAUCCACAUUUAAACAUAAUUAAGAUCUUGCCAGUGGAUUUUCCAUUAUUCCAGUGAUUGGCAUGCUUAUUAGCUUUGGAAAAAUUAACAAACCAAUGCUGAAGGAGCACAUGUUACACAGCCUGCGGAGAAAACAAGGACAGAGGGCACAGUUCCUUCUCCAAGCAGUUAGAGUCUGUCUAAUAGAGACUUCAUGAAGUCCUUAGUUCUGGUAAAUUUUUAAUGUUGAACUUUUAUAAUAGACCAUAACCAGAGGUAAAAUGGGAAUCCACUAAAUGAGAAACUAAGGUUCUAAGAUUCUGGUCCCAAUAAAUGGACAUUUGUUGAAUACCUACUGUCAGGAAUACAAUCAUGUGUUCAGCCCUGGGGUGGGG
rnacentral:lncRNA from 1 species